UACGAACCGUACGAACGUUAUUCGGAAUCACUGGGCUUAAAGGGUGCGUAGGCGGCGCAGUAAGUUGGGUGUGAAAUCCCUCGGCUUAACCGAGGAAUUGCGCCCAAAACUACUGUGCUCGAGGGAGGUAGAGGUGAGCGGAACUUAGGGUGGAGCGGUGAAAUGCGUUGAUAUCCUAAGGAACACCGGUGGCGAAAGCGGCUCACUGGACCUCUUCUGACGCUGAGGCACGAAAGCUAGGGUAGCAAACGGG
rnacentral:rRNA from 1 species